rnacentral:rRNA from 1 species
UACGUAGGGUGCAAGCGUUGUCCGGAAUUAUUGGGCGUAAAGAGCUCGUAGGCGGUCUGUCGCGUCGGCUGUGAAAACCCGGAGCUCAACUCCGGGCCUGCAGUCGAUACGGGCAGACUGGAGUUCGGCAGGGGAGACUGGAAUUCCUGGUGUAGCGGUGAAAUGCGCAGAUAUCAGGAGGAACACCGGUGGCGAAGGCAGAUCUCUGGGCCGUAACUGACGCUGAGGAGCGAAAGCAUGGGGAGCGAACAGGA